AAAAGGUCCUAUAAAGAAGAUUUUGUUUCUUCAACAGAAAUGAGAACCGUAGCUCCAUGGCCGGAGAAUAAAGGAAAGGCGUUUUCAGCCAUGCCAGUGUGCACUGUAAAUAAGAAUGUGGCUGGAUGGCUGUUUCCAUGAGGCUGGGAAAGAUGACUACAAGUAGUUCCGGUUUGCCAGCAGUUACAGCCACUCAUUCCGGGAACAGUGCUUCUUCGUGUGUGGAAGGGGAGAAACCACAUCGCCGAUGGCAAUGCCACUUCCGGUGUUGGAGGUAUCACACAGCACACCUGCAUAUGGCUUCAUCUGUGGCUGUCACACUCACGGGUCUCACUCUGUCACCCAGGCUGGAGUGGAGAGGCACUAUCAUAACUCACAGAAGCCUCGAACUCCUGAGCUCAAGCAGUACUCUGGCCUCAGCUUCCCAAGUAGCUGGGACUACCGGCGCAUGCCACCAUACUCAGGUAAUUAAGGGCAUUAACACUUAAUUCUCUCCCAAUAACUU